GACGAACGCUGGCGGCGUGCCUAAUACAUGCAAGUUGAGCGCUGAAGGUUGGUACUUGUACCAACUGGAUGAGCAGCGAACGGGUGGGUAACGCGUGGGGAAUCUGCCUUUGAGCGGGGGACAACAUUUGGAAACGAAUGCUAAUACCGCAUAAAAACUUUAAACACAAGUUUUAAGUUUGAAAGAUGCAAUUGCAUCACUCAAAGAUGAUCCCGCGUUGUAUUAGCUAGUUGGUGAGGUAAAGGCUCACCAAGGCGAUGAUACAUAGCCGACCUGAGAGGGUGAUCGGCCACAUUGGGACUGAGACACGGCCCAAACUCCUACGGGAGGCAGCAGUAGGGAAUCUUCGGCAAUGGACGAAAGUCUGACCGAGCAACGCCGCGUGAGUGAAGAAGGUUGUCGGAUCGUAAAACUCUGUUGGUAGAGAAGAACGUUGGUGAGAGUGGAAAGCUCAUCAAGUGACGGUAACUACCCAGAAAGGGACGGCUAACUACGUG
rnacentral:rRNA from 1 species